UCCCUAUGUGUGUGCAGUUGCGAUACAGUGGAAACAAGUCUCCAAACCGGUCCUUAAGAAGUUUAUAAUCUGACGGAAAUCUGUGGGCGAAAGAUGAGGACAGAACAUUAAAACGUGAUUCCAUGAAAACUAUUCCUGAAGGUCAUUAAAAAACUCAUAAGAUGUAGACAAGUGCACUGGACGACCAGCCAGGAGAUGGAAGGUCCAACCCCAGUCUGUUACAAACAACCAGUGUGGCCAUGGACAGGACAAGAUUCGAUCUCUCUGGGUUUCCACAUUUGUCAGGUGGUUAGUGUCUCCCUUUUCAAACUGUAUGUAUUUUUACAUUUUCUCUAAUCAGCCUGUUUAUACUAUUAAUAAGGACUUUGG